rnacentral:lncRNA from 1 species
AGGUGAUGGGUAUGGUGUGGGGGGUGGGGAUGAUGGUGGAGGUUGAGGUUGUUGAAUGAUGAUGUUGAGAGGUGGGGGGCAUUAUGGGGAGGGGGUGGAUUGGUUGGUGGUGGGGUGGUGAUGGGGCAUUGAAUUUUGGCCAGUUGUUUGCUAGAGUGGGUGGGGAUAAUGAUAUGAAUGAUGAAUUGAUGACACACAAAUGCUAACUUGCACAAAGGGAUGUAUACAGCUAAUCCUACACCUACUCCACCAUUCCCCCAACCCACCCUCCACCAUAGGUAGUGAAUCCCCACCCACCCCACUACCCCCACUUAAC